CCAUGCAUGUCUAAGUAUAAAUAGUAUACAGUGAAACUGCGAAUGGCUCAUUAAAACAGUUAUAGUUUAUUUGAUAAUGCACACUAAAUGGAUAACCGUGGUAAUUCUAGAGCUAAUACAUGCUAUAAACCUGACUCUCGGAAAGGUUGUAUUUAUUAGAUAUUAAGCCAAUAGUGGCAACACUAUUGCGGUGAAUUAUAGUAACUGAUCGAAUCUCAGCAAUGAGAUAAAUCAUUCAAGUUUCUGCUCUAUCAGCUUUCGAUGGUAGUGUAUUGGACUACCAUGGCAGUCACGGGUAACGGAGAAUUAGGGUUCGGUUCCGGAGAGGGAGCCUGAAAAACGGCUACCACAUCUAAGGAAGGCAGCAGGCGCGUAAAUUACCCAAUCCUGAUUCAGGGAGGUAGUGACAAGAAAUAACAACUCGGGGACCUUCUGGUCUUACGAGAUUGCAAUGAGGACAAUUUAAAUCACUUAGCGAGGAACAAUUGGAGGGCAAGUCUGGUGCCAGCAGCCGCGGUAAUUCCAGCUCCAAUAGCGUAUAUUAAAGUUGUUGCAGUUAAAAAGCUCGUAGUUGAACUUCUGGCAGUGGAUAGGUGUGGCCUCGGUCAGCCUAUCCAUUGUCAUCCGUCUGCAAACCAUGUUCGGUCUUCACUGAUUGGCAUGGGG
rnacentral:rRNA from 1 species